GAUGAACGCUGGCGGCGUGCCUAAUACAUGCAAGUCGAGCGAACAGAUGAGGAGCUUGCUCCUCUGACGUUAGCGGCGGACGGGUGAGUAACACGUGGAUAACCUACCUAUAAGACUGGGAUAACUUCGGGAAACCGGAGCUAAUACCGGAUAAUAUAUUGAACCGCAUGGUUCAAUAGUGAAAGACGGUUUUGCUGUCACUUAUAGAUGGAUCCGCGCCGCAUUAGCUAGUUGGUAAGGUAACGGCUUACCAAGGCAACGAUGCGUAGCCGACCUGAGAGGGUGAUCGGCCACACUGGAACUGAGACACGGUCCAGACUCCUACGGGAGGCAGCAGUAGGGAAUCUUCCGCAAUGGGCGAAAGCUUGACAGAGCAACGCCGCGUGAGUGAUGAAGGUCUUCGGAUCGUAAAACUCUGUUAUUAGGGAAGAACAAAUGUGUAAGUAACUAUGCACGUCUUGACGGUACCUAAUCAGAAAGCCACGGCUAACUACGUG
rnacentral:rRNA from 1 species